GCCCAGUUAGCUCAGACGUAGAGCACCAGAAUCUUAAUCUGGCUGUUGCGGGUUAGAGCCCCGCAUCGGGCU